CAACAACACCUGCAGCCCCUGAACCCACUUAUAUUCUCUCAGCAGAAUUUAAAGAAGUGGCUUUUUCACCUGCCCUCACUGACUCCAACAGCGAUGAAUACAAAGCACUUGAAACAGCAGCUCUAAAUGCGUGUAACAAUGAAUACAGAAGCAUGUUUCCAAACACGUUUUCCCACUGCAUUUUGAAAAACUUCAGAUCCUUAAAUCCACCAAAAGACAACGAAACUCAAGCAACUGUGGGGAUUGUGUUCCAUGGGACUACUGCCAUUGCAGAGCUCCCACAGAAUGAUGUUGUUGCUCAAACCUUAGUAGAAGCUCUGAA